AUAUUAUUAAGCGGAGGAAAAGAAACUAACAAGGAUGCCCUCAGUAACGGCGAGUGAAGCGGGCGAAGCUCAACCUGAAAAUCGGUCACCUAAGCGGGUGUAUCGAAUUGUGGGCUACAGACGUGAGAUCAGUGUGUGACCUAGGUAUAAAUCUUUUGAAACAAGGUAUCAUAGAGGGUGAGAAUCCCGUCUUUGACCUAGAGUUAAUCGCCACGUACGAUCCGCGGUCACAGAGUCGAGUUGUUUGGGAUUGCAGCUCUAAUUGGGUGGUAAAUUUCAUCUAAAGCUAAAUAUCGACGAGAGACCGAUAGCGAACAAGUACCGUGAGGGAAAGAUGAAAAGAACUUUGAAAAGAGAGUUAAAAAGUACUUGAAAUUGCUAAGAGGGAAGCACUGGAAACCAGUCGUUAGACCGGCGUAUAUUCUUACUGUUCGCUCCCGGAUUAUCAUAUUUGUAUGGUGCCCAAAGCCCAAUAAGUGCGAUAUGAAGGUGUGAACGGGUCCUGUAUUGCCGGUCGGAUCAGAAUCAAUUCGUGGCUCGUGAGAGAAAGCUAUGGCAACGGUAGUUCUGUUCGGGGCAACUCGAACGGAAUGAUUAGUGCUGUAGUGCUAUCAUGGGAUGGAUUGAGGUACAAUCGUAAUGCGCACCACUA
rnacentral:rRNA from 1 species